rnacentral:rRNA from 1 species
AANGCCUCNANCAGUCAUUGGGUUGAUCUGCUCUCUUCGCAAGAAGAGGGUUUCCAUACACACCGUGAACUGUGGCUUCGGCCAUCACAAACUGUUAGUAAUGAAUGUAAUAUCAUAACAAAAACAAAACUUUUAACAACGGAUCUCUUGGCUCUCGCAUCGAUGAAGAACGCAGCGAAAUGCGAUAAGUAAUGUGAAUUGCAGAAUUCAGUGAAUCAUCGAAUCUUUGAACGCACCUUGCGCCCUUUGGUAUUCCGAAGGGCAUGCCUGUUUGAGUGUCAUGAAACCUCACCCCACUUGGGUUUUUGCCUGAGCGGUGGUGUAUUGGGUGUUGCCUUGCUAAAGGCUCGCCUUAAAGACAUAAGCACCUUGGAUGUAAUACGUUUCAUCCUUCUGGGUGGCUGAUAACCCCACAUAUUCAUGAUCUGGCCUCAAAUCAGGUAGGGCUACCCGCUGAACUUAAGCAUAUCAAUAAGCGGAGGAA